GGGACACGUGGUAUCCUGUCUGAAUAUGGGGGGACCAUCCUCCAAGGCUAAAUACUCCUGACUGACCGAUAGUGAACCAGUACCGUGAGGGAAAGGCGAAAAGAACCCCGGCGAGGGGAGUGAAAAAGAACCUGAAACCGUGUACGUACAAGCAGUGGGAGCACAGAGCAAUCUGUGUGACUGCGUACCUUUUGUAUAAUGGGUCAGCGACUUAUAUUCUGUAGCAAGGUUAACCGAAUAGGGGAGCCGAAGGGAAACCGAGUCUUAACUGGGCGUUAAGUUGCAGGGUAUAGACCCGAAACCCGGUGAUCUAGCCAUGGGCAGGUUGAAGGUUGGGUAACACUAACUGGAGGACCGAACCGACUAAUGUUGAAAAAUUAGCGGAUGACUUGUGGCUGGGGGUGAAAGGCCAAUCAAACCGGGAGAUAGCUGGUUCUCCCCGAAAGCUAUUUAGGUAGCGCCUCGUGAAUUCAUCUCCGGGGGUAGAGCACUGUUUCGGCAAGGGGGUCAUCCCGACUUACCAACCCGAUGCAAACUGCGAAUACCGGAGAAUGUUAUCACGGGAGACACACGGCGGGUGCUAACGUCCGUCGUGAAGAGGGAAACAACCCAGACCGCCAGCUAAGGUCCCAAAGUCAUGGUUAAGUGGGAAACGAUGUGGGAAGGCCCAGACAGCCAGGAUGUUGGCUUAGAAGCAGCCAUCAUUUAAAGAAAGCGUAAUAGCUCACUGGUCGAGUCGGCCUGCGCGGAAGAUGUAACGGGGCUAAACCAUGCACCGAAGCUGCGGCAGCGACGCUUAUGCGUUGUUGGGUAGGGGAGCGUUCUGUAAGCCUGUGAAGGUG
rnacentral:rRNA from 1 species